CAUGUGAUCCUGAAUCUUGGGCUGGUGAUGAAAUGAUUUUCAAAUACUGUGAACCACAGAGUCUGUAGUGAAGACUAGCAGGCCUCCACCAUCUCACGGCAUGCAUUCUUCCCUCCACCUGUACACGGAGUCUUUCAUGAAACCCCCAUUGUGGAGACCCCACAGUGUUACUGGAGGAAGCCUUGGCUGUUCAUCAUGGCAAUGCCCAGAAAUGGAAGCAGAUUUAAUAUUGAUCACAAAUAUCUAAAAAUGGGAUCAGAUGUUGAGAGUGACCACUCUUCUGGAAGUCAUCUAAUGAAAUCCAGUCACCGAUAGGUGUUUGUCUCAGAAAUCAUAAACAUAGAUGGAUCUCGAUGGAGGGUACAUAUGCAAUAGUUUAUAAAGGAAAAAGUAAACUGACAGAGAAUUUGGUGGAAAUUCUGUUUGGAACACAAAGAAGGCACACCCAGUACAGCUAAAAGAGAAGAUGUUUCUAUAUGAAAUUCUACAUGGAUUGACUUAUUGCCACAGAAGAAUGGUGUCACAUUGAGACUUGAAACCACAGAACCUUCUUAUUAAUAUAAAAGGGAAGUCUGAUCCUGAGCUGAAAUGUUGAAGAUUUGGA